GCAUUGCUUGAUUCACGUUCCAGA
rnacentral:siRNA from 1 species